rnacentral:rRNA from 1 species
GAUGAACGCUGGCGGCGUGCCUAAUACAUGCAAGUCGAGCGAACAGACGAGGAGCUUGCUCCUCUGACGUUAGCGGCGGACGGGUGAGUAACACGUGGAUAACCUACCUAUAAGACUGGUAUAACUUCGGGAAACCGGAGCUAAUACCGGAUAAUAUAUUGAACCGCAUGGUUCAAUAGUGAAAUACGGUUUUGCUGUCACUUAUAGAUGGAUCCGCGCCGCAUGAGCUAGUUGGUAAGGUAACGGCUUACCAAGGCAACGAUGCGUAGCCGACCUGAGAGGGUGCUCGGCCACACGGGAACUGAGACACGGUCCAGACUCCUACGGGAGGCAGAAGUAGGGAAUGUUCCGAACUGGGCGAAAGCCUGACGGAGCAACGCCGCGUGAGUGAUGAAGGUCUUCGGAUCGUAAAACUCUGUUAUUAGGGAAGAACAAAUGUGUAAGUAACGAUGCACGUCUUGACGGUACCUAAUCAGAAAGCCACGGCUAACUACGU